AGGGGAUUUAAAGACUGCCAACAAACCUGACACAGUCGCACACCCAAUGAGCAUGAUCCUUGGUGGUUUGACUGUUUUGCUCACUAUAGUAGUCCUAAUACAGGCUGUAAAAAUCUGGAAACUCCAAAAAGCUGUGAAUGGAGGAUCACAA